rnacentral:rRNA from 1 species
AGAGUUUGAUCAUGGCUCAGAAUGAACGCUGGCGGCGUGCUUAACACAUGCAAGUCGUACGUGAAAGAAGGGCAACCUUCAAGUAAAGUGGCGCACGGGUGAGUAACACGUGGAUAACCUGCCCCAAAGUCUGGGAUAACGCGCCGAAAGGUGCGCUAAUACCGGGUACCUUUAUGCCUCACAAGAGGUAUAAAGAAAGGAGGCCUCUGCUUGCAAGCUUCUGCUUUGGGAUGGAUCCGCGGCCUAUCAGGUAGUUGGUAGGGUAAUGGCCUACCAAGCCUACGACGGGUAGCUGGUCUGAGAGGACGAUCAGCCACAUUGGGACUGAGACACGGCCCAGACUCCUACGGGAGGCAGCAGUGGGGAAUAUUGGGCAAUGGGAGAAAUCCUGACCCAGCAACGCCGCGUGGAGGAUUAAGGCCUUCGGGUUGUAAACUCCUGUCAGCAGGGAAAAAGGUUAUAAGAGCUAAUACCUUUUAUAGCUUGAUGGUACCUGCAGAGGAAGCACCGGCUAACUACGUGCCAGCAGCCGCGGUAAUACGUAGGGUGCAAGCGUUAUUCGGAAUCACUGGGCGUAAAGGGCGCGCAGGCGGUCUUGUAAGUCUAAAGUGAAAUCCUUGGGCUUAACCCAUGGGCUGCUUUAGAUACUGCAAAACUCGAGUUCGGGAAAAGCAAGCGGAAUUCCCUGGUGAAGGGGGUGAAAUCCGUAGAUAUCAGGAGAACACCAGUUGGCGAAGGCGGCCUUGCUAGAACGCAACUGACGCUUAGGCGCGAAAGCGUUGGGGGGAGGCAAACAGGAUUAGGAUACCCUGGCUAGUCCCACCGCCCUUAACCGAUUGGAAUGUAGGGCGUUUGGUAGUACACCUUCUCAGGUGCGUUAGCUACGCAUUGACAUUCCGCCUGGGAGUUACCGUCGGCAGAUCAGACUCAGGAAUGACGGGGC